GUAAGAUACUGGUUUUUCCAGGAAUGGUUGUAUUAUUGGAUUGCACAGUAGAAGGUUUUCCUUUUUAUCGACAUUUUGUCAAUAAAAACAGGCUUCUGCUUCAAUUUAGUCACCAUCUAUGGAGCCUCUGCUGAGGGUGACGCAUCUCAGGCCUGGUACUAGGGAUAUAAGACAAGGAGGCUCAGACAUUGUCCUUGCCCCCAGAAUAUACCUGAAAACAAAGCAUGACAAGGCAGGGUGACAGGGCCCCAUUGGUGUGGAGGCAGCUCAUGGGAAUAAUCCCCUCUGUCAUACACUGGCACCACUCAGAGAGGUGGCUCCAUUUCUGAAGCUCCCUCCCCACUGCCUUCCCACGGGGGACAGAGAGCCCAGUCCCUGCCCCUGGCUGAGCAGCUCCACUCACUGCCACCUCCCACCACAGACUAAUUGCAGACCUUCCAUCUUCUCUUUCAGGCCUUCCCACUGGGUAAUUUUAGGUUAAACCACAUGAAAUUGCCAAUAGUCAACCAUUUUUCUCCAACAACAGCAAUUUCAAAAAGUUCAGCUGAGAGCUUCUUCCUUGGCUUCGGUGAUAUUUCCCACGAGCAAUAAAUGUGAAGUCGGAUGUAUUCCAGGAGAACGUAAAUCUGACAAAAUGACGGAUGAAUUGCAAAGAACUCUCCCUUUUUGAUGGUGGAGAACUCUCCCCUUUUGAUGGAUGAGGACCCUGACUUUGACGUGGGAGACAGGGCAGAAAAAGGAAUCUGGGUAAGCCCGGAUCACUCUGGAAGACUCAACCAUUCUUUGCAGGGCCAGCCGAGCGACACUGCCGCUCAGAAGGUCUCGGGUUUCACGCUGCCUUCGUUAUUCAAUAUGUCUGACUUCAUAUAAAGAAGCUUUGUUUAGGGGGGUGAGCUAAUUGAGCAUCAAGGUAUAUGAUAUAAACCUUGCCCUCAAGGAAUGUAAUGUAAUUUUUAACUGUUUCCAGAACAAGACUCCAGCAACUCUGAACCCUGUUCAGAAACCACAGCAGUUAGUUUUCUGUUUUUAAGUACUUUUUUACUCUGGACAGAGAAGUUGAAAAUCAUGAGGGAGUAGGCUUUCUUUUCCAAAAACCACAGGUCCAUUACCUGUCAGAAUAUCUUCAGCUUCUUGGGGAAAUGAGAUGACAACUAAUUUUCGCCUCGAAUUCAUCCUGGUCUUCACAUAAAGACCAGUGGGCAACAUUCAUUGACAAAGGAGCUGUGUGUGGGAUUACCAAGAUGGA